AUAAACUUGUUUUUCCCACUGGUCAGACGUGUUCGGAGCAGAAUACUGCCCACGUGGCGUGAUAGUUGUAAAGCCCGGAUGUUGAUUGGAUUUUGUGACACUAGUCGUUAGAUCGGACAGUUAACAUUCAACCUCGAAUUGGUUUUUCACAAAGAAAAUAGUCAUGUGUUUAGUAAAGUUAAAAGUUAAACCCAUGAUUAACUACAUGUUCUUGCAGUCAAGGGUUUGGUGAUUUCUGUAUCUUUUUCGAAAAUUAGCAAAACAUAAAACAGUCAAUCAGUGAAACAAGCAAAAAAAUGUACAUAGGAGUUUUUGAUUUGUCGGUUAAUCGUGUAAUAUUCGCACUCUUCUGUAUCUUUUAUCAACGUGGAAAAAACCACACCAAUCUUUCUGCAAUCUAUUUUAGAGGGCCUUUCUCGGAGACUUUCAUCAUGUUCUCCCGGCAUGCCUGUACUCUAAAGCUUAGCAUGAUAAAUGUUUGAUAUCUACAUCUAACCAGGUAUCAGUCGGAGGUGUCAAUAUACACCAAAAACUGGAUAAAACUUUUGUGAGUCUGCAAGAACGUCAAUAUGCAUCUAGUCAGAGAAAACAAUACGGGAAAAGGCCUGAGUAGUAACGAAAGUCUCAUCAGUCCGUGGGGACCAUUUAAAUCAAUUGCAAUCUUCUCUUAAGAACCAUGUCUAUGUCAGCUCCUUCAUGCUGGGUUAUUUUGUAUUGUAAUUUUGUGAAUCAGGAAAGGGUCGGGUUUGCAGGACUUUUACUGGAACGGAGGAAACACGCACGCUUCCGAGAGUCACGGUAUUGCACGACCAACGGCAGAGGGCGCUGUCAGCUCUCGUUAUCUUCUCGAUUCAUCAUCCAUGGAGAGGUCUCAGAUUUAUGGAAAUCAAACAAUUAAGGUUAGAGCAGUCCUGGGUCUGAAAAUGUUUACAGUAUCCUUACUUGUGUCGUUAAAGAAUUGUUUGCAGCAAUUCUCAAAUGACACGGUGAACAGACAAUUACGUUACAUUGAUUGAUGACUCGGGUAAACCGAGUGUCAUUAGCGGCCUGACAUCAAAACGAUACUUUUAAUUUUCAGUCUAGAUACAAAACAAAACUAGAUCAUUAUAAAGUUAUUCGUAGACUAGCAUCUAGGUUUAUCUGCAAUACUGUGUAUUCUAAUUCCCACGGUUGAAAACAUCUUAAAACCACCUGCAAACGACUUCACAACUGCCAAACUUAAAACUGUUUCACUGAUAAAAAUUGCAUCGUCACUAAUCCUUUUAUAAAUGCAUGUCAAAUAUACAUUUAAUUAAGAACAUUUAUCUAAAAGACAACCCUAUAUAUCUCCUUUUCAAUUUACUAGUAGAUACAAAAGCAACGUAAUAUUUCCAGUGUUUGCAAGACAUAAAUAAACACUAUCGUGCUACGUUUUUGUACGUUAGAGAGAUUCUGCCAUGUUUUUACGCAAUUUAUCAUGUCACUAUUUCCAGGUAAAUUAAGAAAUUUAAUACACAGCAUUACAAAUUAAUCAAAAUGUUCUAUGACAUUAUUUCUACAGUACAAGAAUGCUCAUAAUUAAUUGCUACAAUAUCAACCAAUGUAAAUUCUGCAGUCUAGGUACACUAAAUAUGAAACCUAAUUCAACAAGUAUAUUAAACCUCCUCGUCCAACACACCGUCUUCUAUGUGAAUUCCAAUGACGUAACGUCGGUACAGCUUCUUGAAUCUACUGAAGAACCUUCCUAUUUCACCACAACAAAACUCGCACCCAUCCGUAACUGGCUGGGGUGCCGUCUUCCUACAGAAUGCGGCGAACGCCCCGGGACAGAACUGACGAAAUAGAAGCCUCAGUAGGAUGAGAAAGAACACUGUCCCCGUGACGAUCCAGAGCACUGCCAUCAGGUUUCCAGAAUCCUCGGGGGUCUUGGCGUGAACUACCCGCUGAACUUUGUCGUUAUCCAACAGAAAGGAAUCCUCGUGUAUCAUCUUUUUAUAAGGUUCAUCAUUAAAAGACUGUUUGAGGUUGAACGCCUUUUCGUGGUAGACUACCUUGGACAAUUUCUCGGCGAGGGAGACGUGUCCCAAUUGUCGCAGGCGUAAGGGGAGAUCAUUAAACAUUUUUCCUCGUCCCUCCGUCCUGUCCCAUUUUAACAGAAGAUAUAAACAUGACUUGUUUGACUUUUCUGGGACUAUCUCUUCCUUUUUGAUGAAGAAUUCCUGGUGGUGGAGAGAGGAGAUUAGUUUUAAACAAUCAUUGUACCUCAAAUGUUCGGCAACUAGUCGCAGUUCCCGUAAGUUAAGGUCCUUCGUACUGUCACAACAUGAAAGAGUUCCAAGGAUAAAUAUUGCAAAAAACAACAUGACAGCAGAACAUGAGAGACUUGUGACGUCAAAUUACACUGCAUGCAGAUUUCUUGCUACGUCAUAGUUGAUUACGUCAGGUUCUUGCUCUAGAUUUGAUAGAUGAUUUGAGUGAGAGAGAAAUAAAGAAAAACAAAAUCAUUUUGUAAAAUUUAAAAUUUGUGAGCUUAUUUUUAGUUAUAAAUAUUUUUUCAGGAAUUAUAACAAAUAAAAUAUUAAUC
rnacentral:sRNA from 1 species